CGCAGCCGCGGUAAUUCCAGCUCCAAUAGCGUAUAUUAAAGUUGCUGCAGUUAAAAAGCUCGUAGUUGAAUUUCGGAAUCUGUCCGUUGGUCGGGCUUAACUGUCCGUACUGAUGUGAUGGGUUCUUACCUUCUGAAUAACCAGCAUGUCAUUAAUUUGGUGUGUUGGGGAAGCAGGACUAUUACCUUGAAAAAAUUAGAGUGCUCAAAGCAGGCUAGUGCCUGAAUACAUUAGCAUGGAAUAAUAAAAUAGGACGGCAUGGUUCUAUUUUGUUGGUUUCUAGGAUCACCGUAAUGAUUAAUAGGGAUAGUUGGGGGCAUUAGUAUUCAAUUGUCAGAGGUGAAAUUCUUGGAUUUAUUGAAGACUAACUUCUGCGAAAGCAUUUGCCAAGGAUGUUUUCAUUAAUCAAGAACGAAAGUUAGGGGAUCGAAGACGAUCAGAUACCGUCGUAGUCUUAACCAUAAACUAUGCCGACUAGGGAUCGGACGAUGUUAAUUUAUAAUGACUCGUU
rnacentral:rRNA from 1 species